rnacentral:rRNA from 1 species
UGGGGAAUCUUGCGCAAUGGGCGAAAGCCUGACGCAGCGACGCCGCGUGGAGGAUGAAGGUCUUAGGAUUGUAAACUUCUGUUAAGUGGGAAAAAAGCCUUGUUUAUAAUACAUACAAGUGAUGAUGGUACCACUAGAGAAAGUACCGGCUAAUCUCGUGCCAGCAGCCGCGGUAAUACGAGAGGUACAAGCGUUAUUCGGAAUAAUUGGGCGUAAAGGGCGCGUAGACGGCGUAUUAAGUCUGUUGUUAAAUUCUUCGGCUCAACUGAAGACCCGCAACGGAAACUGGUAUGCUAGAGUGUGGGAGAGAGAAGUGGAAUUCUUGGAGUAGCGGUAAAAUGCGUAGAUCUCAAGAGGAACACCGAUGGCGAAGGCAGCUUCUUGGUCCACUACUGACGUUGAGGCGCGAAAGCGUGGGGAGCAAACAGGAUUAGAUACCCCGGUAGUCC